UACGUAGGUGGCAAGCGUUACUCGGAAUCACUAGCGUAAAGCGCAGGUAGGCGGUUUGGUAAGUCUUUUGUGAAAGCUCCCGGCUCAACUGGGAGAGGUCAAGGGAAACUACCAGGCUAGAGUGUGGCAGAGGAAGCUAGAAUUCCCGGUGUAGCGGUGAAAUGCGUAGAUAUCGGGAGGAAUACCAGUGGCGAAGGCGACUGUCUGGGAUAUUCCUGACGCUCAGGCGCGACAGCGUGGGGAUCAAACAGG
rnacentral:rRNA from 1 species